rnacentral:rRNA from 1 species
AUUGAACGCUGACGGAAUGCUUUACACAUGCAAGUCGAACGGCAGCACGGACUUCGGUCUGGUGGCGAGUGGCGAACGGGUGAGUAAUGUAUCGGAACGUGCCCAGUCGUGGGGGAUAACGUAGUGAAAAUUACGCUAAUACCGCAUACGAUCUAUGGAUGAAAGCGGGGGAUCGCAAGACCUCGCGCGAUUGGAGCGGCCGAUAGCAGAUUAGGUAGUUGGUGGGGUAAAGGCCCACCAAGCCAACGAUCUGGAGCUGGUCUGAGAGGACGACCAGCCACACUGGAACGGAGACACGGUCCAGACUCCUACGGGAGGCAGCAGUGGGGAAUUUUGCACAAUGGGCGAAAGCCUGAUCCAGCCAUUCCGCGUGCAGGAUGAAGGCCCUCGGGUUGUAAACUGCUUUUGUACAGAACGAAAAGGUUUCUACUAAUACUAGGAGCUCAUGACGGUACUGUAAGAAUAAGCACCGGCUAACUACGUGCCAGCCGCCGCCGUAA